UGGGGAAUAUUGGACAAUGGGCGCAAGCCUGAUCCAGCCAUGCCGCGUGAGUGAUGAAGGCCCUAGGGUUGUAAAGCUCUUUCGCCAGGGACGAUAAUGACGGUACCUGGAUAAGAAGCCCCGGCUAACUUCGUGCCAGCAGCCGCGGUAAUACGAAGGGGGCUAGCGUUGUUCGGAAUCACUGGGCGUAAAGCGCACGUAGGCGGAUCUUUAAGUCAGGGGUGAAAUCCCGAGGCUCAACCUCGGAACUGCCUUUGAUACUGGAGGUCUCGAGUCCGGGAGAGGUGAGUGGAACUGCGAGUGUAGAGGUGAAAUUCGUAGAUAUUCGCAAGAACACCAGUGGCGAAGGCGGCUCACUGGCCCGGUACUGACGCUGAGGUGCGAAAGCGUGGGGAGCAAAACAGGAUUAGAUACCCUGGUAGUCCACGCCGUAAACUAUGGAUGCUAGCCGUUGGGCAGCUUGCUGUUCAGUGGCGCAGCUAACGCUUUAAGCAUCCCGCCUGGGGGAGUACGGUCGCAAGAUUAAAAACUCAAAUGAAUUGACGGGGUC
rnacentral:rRNA from 1 species